UGUCACUCUGGGCCGUCGGGCGGGGUAAUACAGGGGGGGCGAGCUGUGUUCGGCAUUACCGGGCGGAAAUGGCGCGUAUGCGGCCUGCUAUGUCGAACGUGAAAUCCCCGUGCUCAACCCGGGAACUGCGUCCGAAACUGGCAGGCUCGAAUCCGGGAGAGGGAUGUGGAAUUCCAGGUGUAGCGGUGAAAUGCGUAGAUAUCUGGAGGAACACCGGUGGCGAAGGCGGCAUCCUGGACCGGUAUUGACGCUGAGGCGCGAAAGCCAGGGGAGCAAACGGGAUUAGAUACCCCAGUAGUC
rnacentral:rRNA from 1 species